CGACCGGCGCACGGGUGAGUAACGCGUAUGCAACUUACCUAUCAGAGGGGGAUAACCCGGCGAAAGUCGGACUAAUACCGCAUGAAGCAGGGGCCCCGCAUGGGGAUAUUUGCUAAAGAUUCAUCGCUGAUAGAUAGGCAUGCGUUCCAUUAGGCAGUUGGCGGGGUAACGGCCCACCAAGACGACGAUGGAUAGGGGUUCUGAGAGGAAGGUCCCCCACAUUGGAACUGAGACACGGUCCAAACUCCUACGGAAGGCAGCAG
rnacentral:rRNA from 1 species